rnacentral:rRNA from 1 species
UACGGGGGGAGCAAGCGUUGUUCGGAUUUACUGGGCGUAAAGGGCGCGUAGGCGGCGUGACAAGUCACUUGUGAAAUCUCCGAGCUUAACUCGGAAAGGUCAACUGAUACUGUGCGACUAGAGUGCAGAAGGGGCAACUGGAAUUCUUGGUGUAGCGGUGAAAUGCGUAGAUAUCAAGAGGAACACCUGCGGCGAAGGCGGGUUGCUGGGCUGACACUGACGCUGAAGCGCGAAAGCCAGGGGAGCGAACGGG